AGGUAUCAAGAGAUAUCCGACAUCAAUGACUGUUUUCAGAAGACCAGGUCUGCAUUAGAGGAUGGAUCUAAUUCAGCAAGCAAAAGUGCCAUCAUUCAAUCUUCUUCCCAUAAGCCUUCAAUGUUGUACUUCCUCAUCUGCGGCACAAAAAAAAUGAGUCCAACUGACAACUACAG